rnacentral:rRNA from 1 species
GAUGAACGCUGGCGGCGUGCCUCAAACAUGCAAGUCGAGCGGGGCUAUGUAAUAUCGCAAGGUAGAACAUAGCCUAGCGGCGAACGGGUGAGUAACACGUGGGUAACCUGCCUGGAAGACAGGGAUAACGAUUCGAAAGGGUCGCUAAUACCUGAUAAUAUCCUUCCAUCGCAUGGUGAUAGGAAGAAAGGGGAAACCCGCUUUCAGAUGGGCCCGCGUCCCAUCAGCUAGUUGGUAAGGUAAAGGCUUACCAAGGCGACGACGGGUAGCCGGUCUGAGAGGAUGUACGGCCACACUGGGACUGAGACACGGUCCAGACUCCUACGGGGGGCAGCAGUGGGGAAUCUUCCACAAUGGGCGAAAGCCUGAUGGAGCGACGCCGCGUGAGCGAAGAAGGCCUUCGGUGUAAAGCUCUGUCUGGAGGACGAAGGAAGUGACGGUACCUCCGGAGGAAGCCACGGCUAACUACGUGCCAGCAGCCGCGGUAAGAGUAGUACA